rnacentral:rRNA from 1 species
AGUGAACGCUGGCGGUAGGCCUAACACAUGCAAGUCGAACGGCAGCACAGUAAGAGCUUGCUCUUACGGGUGGCGAGUGGCGGACGGGUGAGGAAUACAUCGGAAUCUACUUUUUCGUGGGGGAUAACGUAGGGAAACUUACGCUAAUACCGCAUACGACCUACGGGUGAAAUCAGGGGAUCUUCGGACCUUGCGCGAGUGAAUGAGCGGAUGUCGGAUUAGCUAGUUGGCGGGGUAAAGGCCCACCAAGGCGACGAUCCGUAGCUGGUCUGAGAGGAUGAUCAGUCACACUGGAACUGAGACACGGUCCAGACUCCUACGGGAGGCAGCAGUGGGGAAUAUUGGACAAUGGGCGCAAGCCUGAUCCAGCCAUACCGCGUGGGUGAAGAAGGCCUUCGGGUUGUAAAGCCCUUUUGUUGGGAAAGAAAAGCAGCAGGUUAAUACCCCGCUGUUCUGACGGUACCCAAAGAAUAAGCACCGGCUAACUUCGUG